rnacentral:rRNA from 1 species
UACGUAGGGGGCAAGCGUUGUCCGGAUUUAUUGGGCGUAAAGAGCGUGUAGGCGGUCAGGUAGGUCCGUUGUGAAAACUCGAGGCUCAACCUCGAGACGCCGAUGGAAACCAUGUGGCUAGAGUCCGGAAGAGGAGAGUGGAAUUCCUGGUGUAGCGGUGAAAUGCGUAGAUAUCAAGUGGAACACCAGUGGCGAAGGCGAGUCUCUGGACAUUUCCUGACGCUGAGGCACGAAAGCGUGGGGAGCAAACAGG